rnacentral:rRNA from 1 species
AUUGAACGCUGGCGGCAGGCCUAACACAUGCAAGUCGAGCGAGCGGCGGACGGGUGAGUAAUGUCUGGGAAACUGCCUGAUGGAGGGGGAUAACUACUGGAAACGGUAGCUAAUACCGCAUACCCUCAGAUGUGCCCAGAUGGGAUUAGCUAGUAGGGGGGGGAAUGGCUCACCUAGGCGACGAUCCCUAGCUGGUCUGAGAGGAUGACCAGCCACACGGGAACGGAGACACGGUCCAGACUCCCACGGGAGGCAGCAGGGGGGAAUAGUGCACAGUGGGGGCAAGCCUGAUGCAGCCAUGCCGCGUGUGUGAAGAAGGCCUUCGGGUUGUAAAGCACUUUCAGCGGUGAGGCGUUACCCGCAGAAGAAGCACCGGCUAACUCCGUGCCAGCAGCCGCGGUAAUUC